rnacentral:rRNA from 1 species
AGCGAACGCUGGCGGCAGGCCUAAAACAUGCAAGUCGAACGGACCCUUCGGGGUUAGUGGCGGACGGGUGAGUAACACGUGGGAACGUGCCCUUUGGUUCAGAACAACUCAGGGAAACCUGAGCUAAUACUGAAUAAGCCCUACGGGGGAAAGAUUUAUCGCCAUUGGAGCGGCCCGCGUUGGAUUAGCUAGUUGGUGAGGUAAAGGCUCACCAAGGCUACGAUCCAUAGCUGGUCUGAGAGGAUGAUCAGCCACACUGGGACUGAGACACGGCCCAGACUCCUACGGGAGCAGCAGUUAGGAAUCUUGCGCAAUGGGCGAAAGCCUGACGCAGCCAUGCCG